rnacentral:rRNA from 1 species
AAUUCAUUGACCCUAGCAAGACUACCAAAAGCGAAAGCAUUCGGCUAGGCUAUACUCUUUGUGAAUGUAUAUGUACCAUACUACUACUACCACCACACACAAACAUACAUAGUACGUAUGUACNUACUACACAACACUUUACAAUGAAGAACGAAGGUUGGGGGAUCAAAGAGGAUCAGAUACCCUCGUCGUCCCAUUAAAUACAUCAAACGAUGGGCUCUCAAUUGCAUUUUUUUCAACGGAUUGCAAAUUUCCUCAGCCUACAAAAUAACUGGGCUUGAGCUAGUGUGAUUUUUAAUGACACGCUCGCCUAUAUUUUUUUCGUAUGGUCUCGAUGUGACGUUUCGUCUGUAUUAUAAUAUUUGCGUGUAAGCAUUAUGUCAUUCUUUGAAAUAUUUAAGAAUGCAUAGCGUGCACUUGAUUUUCGGAGCUUUGCGCUCAAUUCUGGUGAGAUGUAAGCACUAUGUCUUUUUGCCGGCAGUGUAUGUGUCUUAUUACGUUGUUUUAAGCUAUACUAACACUCUGUGUCUGUACUGCUAUUAAUAACACAAGCACAUUUCAUCUGUUGUUUGUGUGAAUUGACAAUUUCGGUGUGAAGCACGCAUUAGGCACGCGCUUACUGCAGAAAUGUCUGAGACACUCUCCUCCGGGGGUAGUAUGCACGCAAGUGUGAAACUUGAAGGAAUUGACGGAAGGGCACCACAAGAACGCGUGGAGCAUGUGGCUUAAUUU